AGGGGGAACGGGGGAUGCGUUCCCUACGGCUGGGAGGCGGGAUCGGGACCGCAGUAAGGCGGUUAGGGUGGUUCUGGCACGGGAAAGCGGCCCUGGAGCGGAGUCCCGCUCCGUAACGGGGAAUUUAUUGUGUUCGUGAAGGGAGAGUGGGAUAAUCGGGCACGGCACGGGUGGUUCCGGGGUGGAUGCGCUGGUGUCGCUGUCACGGUACCGCGGGGUGGAUCCAGGGAUCGCGUGGGCUGCCAGAGCCUGGCCCGGGGGAUGUCGAGGGUCUAAAGGGGCCUUGUGGCCUCGGCAGCCGCUUCUUUCAAGAGGAUGAGCUGGAGAAAAAUAAAUCAUAGAAUCGUGGAAUGCUUUUGGGUUGGAAGGGAUGUCAAAGAUCAUCCAGUUCCACCCGCUGGCACGGGUGGGGACACCUUUCCACCAGACCAGGUUGCUCAGAGCCCCAUCCAGCACGGCCUUGGAUACUUCCAGGGACUGGGACAGCGCUGCCAGGUCCCAAAACAGUAUUCUUCUGGGCACCUAUUAUGAAAUGGGGUUUGGUGGGUGCUGGAUUAGCUGACAUGGCCAGACCAGCAGAAAAGCUCAGCACAGCACAAUCUGCAGUACUAAUGGCCACAGGCCUUAUUUGGUCACGGUACUCUCUGGUGAUUAUCCCUAAAAACUGGAGUCUGUUUGCUGUGAACUUCUUUGUUGGCUGUGCUGGUGGCUCCCAGCUUUUCCGAAUAUGGAGGCAACACUGUCCUGAACAGAAGGGCAGCAAGCAAAUGUGCCAUUGGUGCUUUAGGUCCCAUCACAACUCCAGGCAGAAGAUGGGGGUGUUCAAGCACCAGACUCAGACUCAGGAAUUCACUUGCAGGGGAGAAUAUAACUGAGGCAAGGUAGGUUCUGCCAGCUGUCCCACCAUGAAGUCAGUUCUCUAUUCUGCCAUAGUUCCACUUGCAUGUCUUGGUCCUUAUGGCUGAAGCAGUAACCCGGGGUCUCAAGUGACGAGUUCUCCACCUGUCUCCAUCCUCCUUGGUCACCAAGUGGAUGCAGUGACUGAAAAAUACCGCCAGGGAGAGAGGUGGUGUAUUCCAGUCCCCCUCCCUUCCCAGUCCCCAACCAGGACCCGUCCUUCCUCCAGGGAGGUGUCUUCCGUCA